rnacentral:rRNA from 1 species
GACGAACGCUGGCGGCGUGCUUAACACAUGCAAGUCGAACGGUGAAGCGCCUUCCUUUUUGGUGGGUGUGGAUGAGUGGCGAACGGGUGAGUAACACGUGAGUAACCUGCCCCCUUCUUCUGGAUAACCGCAUGAAAGUGUGGCUAAUACGGGAUAUUCUGGGUCUGUCGCAUGAUGGGUCUGGGAAAGAUAUUGUUUCGGUGGGGGGUGGGCUCGCGGCCUAUCAGCUUGUUGGUGGGGUGAUGGCCUACCAAGGUGGUGACGGGUAGCCGGCCUGAGAGGGUGGACGGUCACACUGGGACUGAGACACGGCCCAGACUCCUACGGGAGGCAGCAGUGGGGAAUAUUGCACAAUGGGCGCAAGCCUGAUGCAGCGACGCCGCGUGAGGGAUGGAGGCCUGCGGGUUGUGAACCUCUUUCGCCAGUGAAGCAGGCCUGCCUCGUUUGUGGGUGGGUUGACGGUAGCUGGAGAAGAAGCGCCGGCUAACUACGUG